rnacentral:rRNA from 1 species
CCGUAGGUGAACCUGCGGAAGGAUCAUUAACGCGCCGUGGGGGGACGGGGCCCG